UACAUUUUAGUAUAGGAUGUACGGGAAUUUUUGGUAUUCUAGGAGGUAGUUUAAUUCUAUCAAGUGUAA
rnacentral:tRNA from 1 species